rnacentral:rRNA from 1 species
AGUAACACGUGGGUAACCUACCUAUAAGACUGGGAUAACUUCGGGAAACCGGAGCUAAUACCGGAUAAUAUUUCGAACCGCAUGGUUCGAUAGUGAAAGAUGGCUUUGCUAUCACUUAUAGAUGGACCUGCGCAGUAUUAGCUAGUUGGUAAGGUAACGGCUUACCAAGGCAACGAUACGUAGCCGACCUGAGAGGGUGAUCGGCCACACUGGAACUGAGACACGGUCCAGACUCCUACGCGAGGCAGCAGUAGGGAAUCUUCCGCAAUGGGCGAAAGCCUGACGGAGCAACGCCGCGUGAGUGAUGAAGGUCUUCGGAUCGUAAAACUCUGUUAUUAGGGAAGAACAAACGUGUAAGUAACUGUGCACGUCUUGACGGUACCUAAUCAGAAAGCCACGGCUAA